UCGCGCCCAAAGACAUCGAUGUCUUCUCCCAAAUCUCAUCGGAGGAGCUCUUUAAUCAAGAGGAAAUGGUGGAUCGGAGCUUCCUCCGCCGCGCCCGGGGUCGACCCGGGGAAUAUUGAGGCCGCCAUUGCCAAGAAAGAUGGUGAUGCUGUUGAAGGAGCACUUGACCGGCUGAGCCAAAUUGGUUGGGCCAAAAAUAUGGAGUUCUUAACCAUAUGUGUCACACCAUGUGGUUAGUUCUCCAUUAAGAUGAAGUUCUGGGCAAGUGCUUAGGCAACUCUAUGGGAGCUGACCUCUUUUGGAAUAAAAAAUGCAGAGAACCUGGCAAUAACAAGUAUUUAGCGGGAACAACCGGAUUACUUGGUGUGCUUGCUGGCCAACUUCCUCGGAUAAUACUUAUUCAAGCAUUCUGAAAUAAAUGAAGUGCAACUUCUUUUCCAUUAAUAAAUGUGACAAAAUUUAUGGAAUUUCCAGAACUGGGGUUUCCUUCUGCCCUCCUCAAUUGGGAGUAUUUCCCUCAUGGUUUUGGUUGUAAGGAGCAUUUCUCCUAGGUAUAUUUUAUGGUGCCCAGUUGAUAUGUACUAACCAUCUAAGUGAGAAUAAAUGAAUAUCAGGGAAACAAAUGCAAUAGAUUAGCCAAUGAAUA